rnacentral:tRNA from 1 species
GAAGGUGUAGCCCAGUGGCAGAGUGCACGCCUAGCAUGCACGAGGUCCUGGGUUCAAGCCCUAGUACCUCUA